GACGUAGGUGGCAAGCGUUGUUCGGAAUUACUGGGCGUAAAGCGCGCGUAGGCGGCUCUUCAAGUCAGGCGUGAAAGCCCCGGGCUUAACUCGGGAACUGCGCUUGAUACUGUCGAGCUAGAGUGUGGAAGGGGCGAUUGGAAUUCCGUGUGUAGCGGUGAAAUGCGUAGAUAUACGGAGGAACACCAGAGGCGAAGGCGGAUCGCUGGGCCAACACUGACGCUGAUGUGCGAAAGCUAGGGGAGCAAACGGG
rnacentral:rRNA from 1 species